rnacentral:rRNA from 1 species
UACGUAGGGUGCGAGCGUUGCCCGGAUUUAUUGGGCGUAAAGAGCUCGUAGGCGGCUUGGCAAGUCGGGUGUGAAACCUCCAGGCUUAACCUGGAGACGCCACUCGAUACUGCCAUGGCUAGAGUCCGGUAGGGGACCACGGAAUUCCUGGUGUAGCGGUGAAAUGCGCAGAUAUCAGGAGGAACACCGGUGGCGAAGGCGGUGGUCUGGGCCGGCACUGACGCUGAGGAGCGAAAGCGUGGGUAGCAAACAGG